rnacentral:rRNA from 1 species
UAACACGUAGGUUACCUACCUAUCGAUGGGUAACAACCCGUGAACAGCGGAGCUAAUUCCGCAUACGCUUACCAGCUCGCGGGAUUGGAGAGGACAGAUGGCCUCUUCAUGAACGCUAUCGGCGAAUAAUGGGCCUGCGCGUGAUUAGCUUGUGGGUGAGGUAACGGCUCACCAAGGCUGCGAUGACUAGCUGGUCUGAGAGGAUAGAUCAGGCACAGUGGCACUGGAACACGGGCCAGACUCCUACGAGAGGCAGCAGUGGGGAAUAUUGCGCAAUGGGCGAAAGCCUGACGCAGCAACGCGCGAGUGAGUGAGGAAGGCCUUCGGGUCGUAAAGCUCUGUCGAGAGGGACGAAACACCGGUUGGAACAAUAUCUCGCCGGUUUGAAGGUACCUCCAAAGGAAGCAGCGGCUAAGUCCGUGCCAUGAGCCGCGGUAAUACGGAGGGUGCAAGCGUAGUCCGGAAUGACUGUGCGUAAAGGGCGUGUAGGACGUAUCCAGAAGUCGGGUGUAGAAAGCCCUGGGCUCAAGCCAGGAAGUGGCGCCCGAAACCAUUGGUCGUUGAGGUUCCAGAAGGGAGCAGGGAAUUCCCAGUGUAGAGGUGACAUUCGUACAUCUUGGGAAGAACACCGGUGCCGAAGGGGCCGGUCUGGAUGGAUACUGACGCUGAGGCGCGAAAGCGU